GCCCCUUUAGGAGGCUAGAGUAGAGCCACGCACACAACAUGUCAACGCAAACAUGUCGUGUAAUUACAGCGGGAUUUUUAAAUUAUUGUUGUUCUUUCGUACCGAUGAGUUCAGCACCCAACUGCAAGUUUGACAAAAAAGCUUCAUCAAGGCAUUUACAUAUGUAUUUCUAUACGAGCAGUGGUGAGCAGAAAUAUGCAUAUUUAUAUUGUAUGGCCUUCUAAACUUUCUAUGUUUAUUUAUUCACAAUAUGUAGCGGUACUUAAAAGGUGUAUGUCUUGGUGUUUUAAAAACAGGAAUGUAUAUUUAACAAACUAUUUUAAUGUUGUGCAUAAUAACACAUAUGUUCAUAUUAUUUAACUAAUUGAAAUAAGGAUAUGAAGGAUGUUUUAAGUUUGUUUUCAAUUUUUUUUUGCAAAAAACCGAGUAGAAGGCCCUUAUAAAUUCGACAUCGACACAUCACUAGUGAAAAAUAUAUGUGUAAAGCGGUAUUUUAAUGUAUUGUUCUUUUGUUGAAAUCAUGUUUUGUUUAUUGUUAUAAGUGUUAUUUUUAAGAAACAUUGGUGUAUGUAUGUUUUGGGAUAACAAUAAUUGUUAUUCAAAUCCCUUUUGAACUAGUAUUGUAAGUUAUGUUACUGCAUUUUUUUAAUUUUAGUUACUUGUGCUACUUACAUUCGAGCAUGCUUAAAUAAUAAUCCAGUCUUUACACAUCUUUACACAAUAUUUUUAAGUUGAGCUAAGAAAUUUACUUGUGAAUUAUGAUUAAUUAGUGUAAUCUAAAGGACGUGUUUUGGAAUAUAUAAGUAACUAUUUAUUUAGUAUUGUUGAACAAAAUUUAAAGCCGCCUUAAAAGUCCUUAAUUAGAUUGUGCCCUCAGGUCCAUCUGCUUAUCAAAAGACGCGUUGACAGCAACAUUGCUUGAGGUUGUUAAUUAUCUAACGCGGCAGCCUGCUGAAUACCUAAGUGCGCCCUUAAAAUUAAAACUGUGAGUGUUCCAAGAAUAGUUUAUGCGGUCGCACUUCAGUGCGGCUAGCGAUGAAACGCUAUGAACACUUAUACUAUCCUACUUUAAAGGCCCUUCCAUAUUUAGUGCAUGAAUCACAGCGCGAAGCCUUCGCGAGAUUAAGAAUCCGAGCCGCCGAUUUUUGCGCAUUUUUCCAAAUUUUUUGUCAGUUUGUUCCGCAACAAAAAGAUUGGAAUCUAUGUACUAUCAUCGCCUCCUCAUUGGUUCGUGGUUAGUGGUGGUGUUCUGCGUUUUUCUCGCGUGACUCAUGCACUUAAUGUGAAGGUCCCUUUAUAAGACCUCUAAGGAUCCAGGCAAACGAGUCAAAUGUACAGAACAUGUCGAAGAUGUGUCGCUGGCGCUAAACAAAGACAAACUAAAUAUUUAUUGUAACUUGUCACAUGGAUUUAAUUAAAGCGUUUUAUAUAAUU